AUCGCUUCUCGGCCUUUUGGCUAAGAUCAAGUGUAGUAUCUGUUCUUAUCAGUUUAAUAAAAGUACAAAACUGUUCGCAAUAAUUUUUUUUUCUUGUUGCAGACCAUUC
ensembl:snRNA U2 U2 spliceosomal RNA